UACGUAGGGUGCGAGCGUUGUCCGGAAUUAUUGGGCGUAAAGGGCUCGUAGGCGGUCUGUCGCGUCGGUCGUGAAAACUUGGGGCUUAACCCUGAGCUUGCGGUCGAUACGGGCAUGACUGGAGUUCGGUAGGGGAGACUGGAAUUCCUGGUGUAGCGGUGAAAUGCGCAGAUAUCAGGAGGAACACCGGUGGCGAAGGCGGGAUCUCUGGGCCUACUGACUCUGAGGCGCGAAAGCUAGGGGAGCAAACAGG
rnacentral:rRNA from 1 species